rnacentral:tRNA from 1 species
UUCAAAGUGUCUUCCUUGGUAAAGAAUCUGCCUGCAAAGUGGGAGACCAGGGUUCAAACCCUGGCUCUGGAA